AUUGAAAAAGAAAUUACUAAAAUAUAUGAACAUUAUUAUAAAAGUCAAAAAAUAUCCAUUUAAAAUAUCUGCUUCAUAUUUUGAACUAUUAUACAAAAUGGUUUUUUAUUUUUAAAUAUAUAAUGUUAUGUAAAAAUUUCAGAAGAAGUCAUUUUCUUUUUGUGUGUGUGCUGUUUUUUAUUAUAUUUUUCCAUUACCAUUUAUCUCCCCUUUACCCUGUUCCAUACAUAAUAAAUUCAUUUUCAUAGAAGGAAAUCAAAAUCAUUGCAGACUGCUAUAAAUUUUUAUAGAUCAUCUGUAUGGACAUUUUAAACCAAUAUACAGUUCUUGGAUGGAAGCUACAAAUUGCCUUUAUUUUUUUAAGUGUGCUUUUCUCACCUCUUAAACUUACUAUUACUUAAA